CAUACCUUUCAUAUUGUUGUGAAACUAGUUGUACGGAUGGGACUGAGGAGUGUUAAUUUAAAAAGACGUGUUCAUAGCAAAACUGCAUGUUUAUUACUGACAUUUAUUUAUUUAUUUAUUUAUUUAUUUAACAUUAACACCAACAAGACAUACACUAA